AGCUUUGCGCAGUGGCAGUAUCGUAGCCAAUGAGGUUUAUCCGAGGCGCGAUUAUUGCUAAUUGAAAACUUUUCCCAAAUGGGAAAGGAGACCAAAUAGUAUGUAUUUUCUAGAACUUUGUGAGUACCAGAUGAAAUGUGUGCUCAAA